ACGGAAGGCAGCAGUGGGGGAUAUUGCACGAUGGGGGAAACCCUGAUGCAGCGACGCCGCGUGAGUGAUGAAGUAUUUCGGUAUGUAAAGCUCUAUCAGCAGGGAAGAAAAUGACGGUACCUGACUAAGAAGCUCCGGCUAAAUACGUGCCAGCAGCCGCGGUAAUACGUAUGGAGCAAGCGUUAUCCGGAUUUACUGGGUGUAAAGGGUGCGUAGGUGGCACUGCAAGUCAGAUGUGAAAGACCGGGGCUCAACCCCGGGGCUGCAUUUGAAACUGCGGGGCUGGAGUGCAGGAGAGGCAAGCGGAAUUCCUAGUGUAGCGGUGAAAUGCGUAGAUAUUAGGAGGAACACCAGUGGCGAAGGCGGCUUGCUGGACUGAUACUGACACUGAGGCACGAAAGCGUGGGGAGCAAACAGGAUUAGAUACCCUGGUA
rnacentral:rRNA from 1 species